rnacentral:tRNA from 1 species
GAGGGUAUAGCUCAGUGGUAGAGUGCAUGCUUAGCAUGUAUGAGGGUCCUGGGUUCAAUCCCCCAGUAUCUCCA